rnacentral:rRNA from 1 species
CAUCUUGACGGUACCUAAUCAGAAAGCCACGGCUAACUACGUGCCAGCAGCCGCGGUAAUACGUAGGUGGCAAGCGUUAUCCGGAAUUAUUGGGCGUAAAGCGCGCGUAGGCGGUUUUUUAAGUCUGAUGUGAAAGCCCACGGCUCAACCGUGGAGGGUCAUUGGAAACUGGAAAACUUGAGUGCAGAAGAGGAAAGUGGAAUUCCAUGUGUAGCGGUGAAAUGCGCAGAGAUAUGGAGGAACACCAGUGGCGAAGGCGACUUUCUGGUCUGUAACUGACGCUGAUGUGCGAAAGCGUGGGGAUCAAACAGGAUUAGAUACCCUGGUAGUCCACGCCGUAAACGAUGAGUGCUAAGUGUUAGGGGGUUUCCGCCCCUUAGU